GAUGAACGCUGGCGGCGUGCCUAAUACAUGCAAGUCGAGCGAACGGACGAGAAGAUUGCUUUUCUGAUGUUAGCGACGGACGGGUGAGUAACACGUGGAUAACCUACCUAUAAGUGUGGGAUAACUAAGGGAAACCGGAGCGAAUAACGGCUAAUAUUUUGAACCGCAGGGUUCAAAAGUGAAAGACGGUCUUGCUGUCACUUAUAGAUGGAUCCGCGCUGCAUUAGCUAGUUGGUAAGGUAACGCCUAACCAAGGCAACGAUGCAUAGACGACCUGUGGGGGUGAUCGGCCACACUAGAACUGAGCCACGGUCCAGACUCCUACGGGAGGCAGCAGUAGGGAAUCGUCCGCAAUGGGCUAAAGCCUGACGGAGCAACGCCGCGUGAGUGAUGAAGGUCUUCGGAUCGUAAAACUCUGUUAUUAGUGAAGAACAUAUGUGUAAGUAACUGUGCACAUUUUGACGGUACCUAAUCAGAAAGCCACGGCUAACUACGUG
rnacentral:rRNA from 1 species